GCUACGGGUGGCAGCAGUGGGGAAUAUUGCACAAUGGGGGGAACCCUGAUGCAGCGACGCCGCGUGGGUGAAGGAGUAUUUCGGUAUGUAAAGCCCUAUCAGCAGGGAAGAACACUGACGGUACCUGACUAAGAAGCACCGGCUAAAUACGUGCCAGCAGCCGCGGUAAUACGUAUGGUGCAAGCGUUAUCCGGAUUUACUGGGUGUCAAGGGAGGGGAGGCGGGGCGUUAAGCCUGGUGUGAAAGGCCGCGGCCCAACCGGGGGACUGCAUUGGGAACGGGCGGGCUGGAGUGCAGGAGGGGGAGGCGGAAUUCCUAGUGUAGCGGUGAAAGGCGUAGAUAUUAGGAGGAACACCAGUGGCGAAGGCGGCCCACUGGACGGUGACUGACGCUGAGGCUCGAAAGCGUGGGGAGCAAACAGGAUUAGAUACCCUGGUAGUC
rnacentral:rRNA from 1 species